GACGAACGCUGGCGGCGUGCCUAAUACAUGCAAGUAGAACGCCGUUGCGAACGGGUGAGUAACGCGUAGGUAACUGCCUCAUAGCGGGGGAUAACUAUUGGAAACGAUAGCUAAUACCGCAUACUGUGAGAUGGACCUGCGUUGGAUUUGCUAGGUGGUGGGGUAAAGGCCCACCAAGGCGACGAUACAUAGCCGACCUGAGAGGGUGAUCGGCCACACCGGGACGUAGACACGGCCCAAGCUCCCAACGGAAGCAGCAAUAGGGGAUCUUCGGCCAUGGACGGAAGGCUGGACGAGGAACGCCGCGUGAGUGAAGAAGGGUUUCGGAGCGUAAAGCUCUGUUGUGAGAGAAGCGGUAACUAACGAGAAAGGGACGGCUAACUACGUGCCAGCAGCCGCGGUAAUAC
rnacentral:rRNA from 1 species